GAUGAACGCUGGCGGCGUGCCUAAUACAUGCAAGUCGAGCGAACAGACGAGGAGCUUGCUCCUCUGACGUUAGCGGCGGACGGGUGAGUAACACGUGGAUAACCUACCUAUAAGACUGGGAUAACUUCGGGAAACCGGAGCUAAUACCGGAUAAUAUAUUGAACCGCAUGGUUCAAUAGUGAAAGACGGUUUUGCUGGCACUUAUAGAUGGAUCCGCGCCGCAUUAGCUAGUUGGUAAGGUAACGGCUUACCAAGGCAACGAUGCGUAGCCGACCUGAGAGGGUGAUCGGCCACACUGGACCUGAGCCACGGUCCAGACUCCUACGGGAGGCAGCAGUAGGGAAUCUUCCGCAAUGGGCGAAAGCCUGACGGAGCAACGCCGCGUGAGUGAUGAAGGUCUUCGGAUCGUAAAACUCUGUUAUUAGGGAAGAACAAAUGUGUAAGUAACUAUGCACGUCUUGACGGUACCUAAUCAGAAAGCCACGGCUAACUACGUG
rnacentral:rRNA from 1 species